GACGAACGCUGGCGGCGUGCUUAACACAUGCAAGUCGAACGGAAAGGCCCCCACCUUGGUGGGGGUGCUCGAGUGGCGAACGGGUGAGUAACACGUGGGUGAUCUGCCCUGUACUUCGGGAUAAGCUUGGGAAACUGGGUCUAAUACCGGAUAGGACCAUGGUUUAGUGUCUCAUGGUGGAAAGAUUUUUUGGUGCAGGAUGAGCUCGCGGCCUAUCAGCUUGUUGGUGGGGUAAUGGCCUACCAAGGCGUCGACGGGUAGCCGGCCUGAGAGGGUGGACGGCCACAUUGGGACUGAGAUACGGCCCAGACUCCUACGGGAGGCAGCAGUGGGGAAUAUUGCACAAUGGGCGCAAGCCUGAUGCAGCGACGCCGCGUGGGGGAUGACGGC
rnacentral:rRNA from 1 species